GGUUACCCGCGACAGGACGGAAAGACCCCGUGGAGCUUUACUGCAGCCUGAUAUUGAAUGUUGGUACAGCUUGUACAGGAUAGGUAGGAGCCUUGGAAACCGGAGCGCCAGCUUCGGUGGAGGCAUCGGUGGGAUACUACCCUGGCUGUAUUGACCUUCUAACCCGCCGCCCUUAUCGGGCGGGGAGACAGUGUCAGGUGGGCAGUUUGACCGGGGCGGUCGCCUCCUAAAAGGUAACGGAGGCGCCCAAAGGUUCCCUCAGAAUGGUUGGAAAUCAUUCGCAGAGUGUAAAGGCACAAGGGAGC
rnacentral:rRNA from 1 species